AUGCAAUGAAACCAGGUUGUAGCUAGAGAUGAUGUGCAGGAGUUUCCAGGGAUUUGUAGUCUUGCAUGAUGUCUACUUAGAUGCUAAAUAACAUUUUGAAAUCUGAGAGUAAAUAGAGCCGAAUAUAUUGAUACAAGUUACCUUGUCUGAGAGACAUUUACAUGGUUAUCAAAACGUCACGCCAGGGUAAGCCUACACGAAACACAGACCUUAUUUUAAAUGUUUCUAAAAUUCCCUAUGGGAAAAAUGAAUGGUGGAAAAACGAUUGGAACCAUUUCCCUGUUUGACUGCUAGGUUUUAUGGGUAUUAUGACACCUUCACUGUGGGGCUCUAUAUCUUGGGUCAUGGGUCACAUGUGUGUAGGCACACAGGUGACCAGGAAGUGGGAAUGAACAGAUGGCUGUGGACUGGGACGUUGAUGUUCUGCAUUGUUAGUCAAGCACCUGUACACGUUGAUAUCCUGAGGCUGUGGAAAGAGCGCCAUCUUUUGGGAACAGGAUGGAACUUGGUACAUUUUUCCCAAAUCAUCAAAAACAAAAAUGCACCCACCAUGACCUGUAAAACCAGUCUGACUUAAAACGUUGAGACAAUGUAAUACUGUUUAUCCAACAUUGACCAAUAUUAAUCUGGCACCUUUUGAUAUUCUGUGCGGUAGUCAAAGAACUAAGGAAGUUUCAUGAUAACCCACAUCUA
rnacentral:lncRNA from 8 species